GACUCGCAGCCAUCACUCCCACGACCCUGAUGCCACAUGCGGAUCCAUACAGCAAUCCCUGGGGCUUACUCCUGGGGAUAAAAAGCCCUGUUCGGCAGGUUCCCCGUACUGCAUCUCCUCCAUAGUGUCCUGUGCCCUGCUACUCAAUUUUUGGUGGCCUCCGCCUCUGCCCAGCGUUCAUCGCUCCAGGAGCUGACCGACCGACUGUCCGUUCCCCGCCGGACUGACGAGCGCGGCUCCAGGAAUGACUGCUGAGGUGUCCCAGGGGCAGGGGGAGCAUUGGAGGCUCCAAGCCCCGGAGCAGACUUGCUCCCGGGACUUGUUACGUGCGUGACUGAAUAAACACUCGCCGCCUCCUUUGCCCUCA